CAGUCGCCGCGGGAAUACGUAGGUGGCAAGCGUUGUCCGGAAUUAUUGGGCGUAAAGGGCUCGCAGGCGGUUUCUUAAGUCUGAUGUGAAAGCCCCCGGCUCAACCGGGGAGGGUCAUUGGAAACUGGGAAACUUGAGUGCAGAAGAGGAGAGUGGAAUUCCACGUGUAGCGGUGAAAUGCGUAGAGAUGUGGAGGAACACCAGUGGCGAAGGCGACGCUCUGGUCUGUAACUGACGCUGAGGAGCGAAAGCGUGGGGAGCGAACAGGAUUAGAUACCCGAGUAGUCCCUGUCUCUUAUAC
rnacentral:rRNA from 1 species